UGGGGAAUCUUGCGCAAUGGGCGAAAGCCUGACGCAGCCAUGCCGCGUGAAUGAUGAAGGUCUUAGGAUUGUAAAAUUCUUUCACCGGGGACGAUAAUGACGGUACCCGGAGAAGAAGCCCCGGCUAACUUCGUGCCAGCAGCCGCGGUAAUACGAAGCGGGCUAGCGUUGCUCGGAAUUACUGGGCGUAAAGGGCGCGUAGGCGGAUCGUUAAGUCAGAGGUGAAAUCCCAGGGCUCAACCCCGGAACUGCCUUUGAUACUGGCGAUCUUGAGUAUGAGAGAGGUAUGUGGAACUCCGAGUGUAGAGGUGAAAUUCGUAGAUAUUCGGAAGAACACCAGUGGCGAAGGCGACAUACUGGCUCAUUACUGACGCUGAGGCGCGAAAGCGUGGGGAGCAAACAGG
rnacentral:rRNA from 1 species